GUUAAGUGAUAGUGUGAUAAAAAAAUGUAAAUCUCUGAAUUUUGUUCGUCCUCUCGCCGUCUGCCUUUCUCUUUGUGUUCUUUUCAGCAGAAGCACAAGGAAGCUUGUGGGUUCAGUUAAGCCUUGUCGUCGCCCAUAAGAUCCACUUUGUCCAACAAUUGGGAUUUUCAGUUCCCCGUAGCUAUUACCCGAUCUCCUCCACGCGUCCCCAGGUUUCUUCUCUUCUCUUCUCAUUUCCCAAUUGUUUUUCUUGCUCUUUGGGUCUUGCUAGUUUUUGUUAAUUUUGGUUAGAGAGUUGAAUGAUUGUGAUCAGACUCACUUUUCGGAGAAGAAAAGAAAAUUGAAAAUGGGAGAACUGAGUUCAAAGAAAGAGAAUUUGGGAAACGAAAUCCGCACAAACCGACGGAGGUGAGUAUUCGACGAUUUUGGUUAGUUAUAUGGAAUUGAUGAAACUUCGACGGCUCUCCCUUCUUGAAUAUGUUGUUUAUGGGAUUUGAUUUCUACACCAAAGUGAGGAAAAUUCUAUUAAGCUAUCAUAUAUUCAUAUUGGCUAUGAUUGAAUGGUACAUGACCAUAAUAGCUUGAAUUCCAGUAAAAGCUUUGUGGAUUUGGGAUUUGAAGUUUGAGGUUUUAUUUUUAUUUUUUGGAUUUGAAUUUUGCAGUUUUUGAAAUUUUACAUGUUAGUUGAUGUUGUUAUCCUUUUCAUGUUAAAGUCCAAUGUAUGAUUUAGCAGGUUAGAUGAGAUAUUGGAUUUGCUGAACCUUCAGGUAGUUAGAAAAUAUGCCAAUGUCUCCAAUGGAGGGGUGCCAUUUAAUUAGAAAGUAAACAUCCCACAUUGUUAUCAGCCCUAGACCACCAUUUUACACAUUUCAGACCAACAAUUUGAUUGCUUGUUUUCUCUGCUAUGUACUCAAAUCUAUUACAGCUACUGGGAUAGCUGCAUCACCAAAACUAGUUCUUUGUGUAUCACAGCUUAUGACUCUAAUUGUUUUACCAUCAAGGUCACACAGAAUACUUGAUUUUGGAUUAGUCAUUUACUUAUCCAUUUUGUCAAAUAUGGGUUCUGCUGAGAAAUGCCAGGAUGGCAAGUAAUUAAGCAACAAUUUUUGGAUGAUCCUUCUGAAACAACUAUAUACAUAGCUGGUUUGCAGGCUGCAUGGAAGCUUGGUGCUGCAUUCAAAUUGGUUAUCAUUUGAUUAUGACACUGCGUCUAGUAUCUGCUAAGUUUAUUGGUCUUUAGGUUCAAAAGUUUCGUUUUAUCGAAACUCUUAUGAGUUUUAUUUGGUUUGCAUAUAGUUCUCUUUUGAAGCUUGUAUUAUAUCUAAAUAUUUCUCAUGUUCUCUUUUUAGAUCUACCCCAAAUCCUGUUUUUUCUUUUUUUGAAUUCUGGGUGCACAGGCAGUGAGAUUGUAGUUGUCAGUGACAAACUAAGGAUAAAUUGGAAGAGCUUUAAGGUAUCUCAAUCAGUGAUUUCCUGAAUUACUUCAUUUGGAAGAGCCUUAAGAUAACUUGGUUAUUCUGAUUCCUAUAUGAUGUCUGAUAAUGUGUGGACAUGGGUGCAGGUUGAACCGUAACAGAUGAGGAUUGGCAUAGUUGAGUUUGAGGAUGAUGUGGUACUUGACAGUGAGGGUGACGAAGUUAAUGGAAGGUGACUCAUACAAGUAUGUCUCUGGACAAAAAGUGCACUGCAGGUUUGUAUAUUUGCUUCUUCUUUUUUUUGUUGUAUUUUGGUUAAUUUUUUGAUAGCAGUUGGCGUUGAACGUGUUGAUGAUAUGAAGUUUUUUUUCUUAAUGAAUGCUUGAGGAAGUAAUCUCUGCAAGACUUUGCAUUUACUAAUUUGAAUGACAAGUUUCUUGAAAUAAUUUUCAUACUACGGAGGAGUAAAGGCCGAAAUAUUUGUGCUGCUUGCAGAAUUUAGCUACAUCGACUCCCAUGAUCUUGGUUGGUCGCAUUACUGUAAGAGAAAGACAUUAGAUAAAUGGCUUUCAAACAUAUAUAUGAAGAUAGCUAGCAUCUAGGAUAAUAACAGGGUUUCAAAACUUUUCAAAUAUCGAUAAAAAACUGUGUGCUUGGUCAUAGUUAAGAUCAACUCAGUUAAAAUUGCAUAUGUGAAUGUGUAAAAUUCAAUCUUUGUGCAUAUACCAUAGGGACCAUUAGCACUCAAUAUUCAAUGAUAUAACUCAAAACAUGCAUCUCUCACAAGAAGUAAUGUUUUCAGCCAUUAACGUAAAACCUGAAGAGGAUAGAACUAUUAUGUUUCGAGUCACUUUCGUUUAACCAAAAACUAAUUAGGUCUCAUAGCUAGAAUACCAGCAUGAUGAAGAUGCCAAGGUGCAUUUGAGCAGCAGAGCAGUGAACUCCAGAUGCAAUGAACACCCAAAGUGAUAAUUGUAGAAAUAUAAUCCAUGUUACUUGAAGCAUUUUUCUCCUUAUGUGCAUAAACUAAAUGUCUAUUUAAAAGAGCUCUUACUUUGCUUUAUUGAAGGAUAUAGAUUGUGUCUCAUGUAUAUCGAUCUUUUUUUUUCUUCAUCACAUUGCUUAAUGAGCAUGCACCUUUGUUGUAUAGUCCAAUGGACUAAUUACAUUUUAUUUUUAGUUACAUUCAUGAAAUAUGUAGGAACCUCUAUGCAAUACUCUGAACAAGAAACAUGACAAGAAGUAUGUUCCAAUUUUAUAUGCUAAUUUUAUUGUUCCUUAUGUGGGAUAGAUGGGGUUGGAAGAAUUGUUGGACUGCUAAUCGAUCAGAGGAAGGCCCCAUCAAAGUGGAUGUCUAACCUGUUACUAGAGCUCUUUAAUUUGAUGAUGUAAACUCAGGUUGUCUGAGAGGGAUUUCCCCUUAGUGUUUGUUUGUUUCGUAUCAAAAAAAAGAGUGAAUGUCUAACGCGGACCAAACAAAAGUGGAGGUGUCAUCAUGCAUCUGGGAAUCAUACACCUGCUAAAUUUAUGCUUCGAAUUUCCAGUAUUUUUCCGUGUCUCAACAAUUGUAAAGUUCAUUCGUAUCAAAAAAACAAUUUGUAAAGUUCAUUCUUCAUAGAGUUGUGAGCAGCAUAUUGUAUCAUGAGGAAUUGAUGGGCUCGGAUGCAUAAUGAUUUACGUUUGCAG
rnacentral:lncRNA from 1 species